GGUAUUCGCUUUUACAUUGUUUUCAAUAACUUUACCACUUCUUAAAACAGUCAUAACUUUAGCUUCUUCAGGUUGACUAGGCAACUUACCUGGCACAUGGCCUUGCAUAGAUUUAGCAAGUUGCCCCACUUGUACUUCCAAUUUUCUCAGGGAAGCCUCUGUUCUGGCAAGUGAAGCUCCA